AAGCCUGCCAGGUGUGUUUAUGAAUAAGAUGACCGCUCCUGUAGAAGCGCAGUAUUCAUGUUAAAUGGUAUGACUUAUCAUUAGGUGCUGCAGUGGGUACCAGGCUGUGUCAUGAUAUAUCUACGGGCGCUCUGAGAGGCAACACCAUUCUCCAGCCCUGACGUAUCGUACCUUUAAACUGCCCACGCUCACCUGAGGUGUGAGGGCUGACAUGUCAGAUGUACAGAGGUUGUGUCCUGAUCGAGUCUGUCUGAUGCUCUGCCGCCUGGUGUUGAAAAGACUUAAGUGCCAGACUGCUGCUUUGCCGGGCCAUCUUGCUUUGCUUGCCUGUGCCACUUCCUCUACAUGGUCUGGCCUCACUUGAUUUGCUUUGUCGGAGCCAGUUUGUCCAUAUUGCCUGGUUUCACUGGCCUAUCUUAACUGGGACUAGACCCUAGAUUUGUGUGGAUUUCCCAUGAUUUGUAUAUUGUUUUGAUCUACUGCUAUUCAUUCAUUGGAUUCAGGAAUGUCUUUCACCUUUGUGAACCUGAACCAACUGAAAUUCAUGCUUUGUUUUGUUUCAUUUCCUUUCAGGCAGCAGAACGAGCUGUGGGGAGUACGCGUGGCUUCCACCUUGCAUGCAGUGUGGUCAUUUGCAUGUCUUGUAGUUUUGUUUCUACUUGCCAGUGUGAGUUGCGGUGUUAGCGAGCACCAGGUGAUCACGUGGUGGUAUUUAUUGGGAUGUGUGUUAAAAGCUCCCCACAGUGUGUAUGUUGUCUGAUUUUAUUUUGGAUCAUAAGUACCACUGUUAUUCCAUACUGGGGUCUGUUCCCUGUUAGCUGUUACUGUUUUAGCAUUUAUUAGAUUUGAUGAAUAAAACUUUUCUGAACAUAACCUUGUUCUCUUUUGUUCUCCAGGGCUGCAGCCACAAGUAUUA